rnacentral:rRNA from 1 species
UACGAAGGGGGCUAGCGUUGCUCGGAAUCACUGGGCGUAAAGCGCACGUAGGCGGACUCUUAAGUCGGUGGUGAAAUCCUGGAGCUCAACUCCAGAACUGCCUUCGAUACUGAGAGUCUCGAGUCCGGGAGAGGUGAGUGGAACUGCGAGUGUAGAGGUGAAAUUCGUAGAUAUUCGCAAGAACACCGGUGGCGAAGGCGGCAUCCUGGACCAACACUGACACUGAGGAGCGAAAGCCAGGGGAGCAAACGGG